GUUCCGGCCGCGCACAGGCUUGGACCCGUCGCCGCGCCCGACGCACAAGUCACCGCCCUCGUCGGCUCCGUCCCCCGCCACCUCACGCUCCCAUCUCCCUCUUCCUCGACGACCCUCGCCGGUGCCCCGUCGCCUGUUACCGACCACCGCCGCUCCGGAUCGCGGGCUCCCUGGCGCGAGCGCCCGUCCUUGACGCCCGAUCUCCCUUCCCCUCGCGCUCCUUCUGCGCCGCCGUGCUUCCACGAUGCAGGCGCACGCCAGCGCCUUGGCAUCGCCGCGGCGCCCGGAGCCACCUCGCCGGACCACUGCACCGCCGGCCUCCCCGAGCGCUUCCUCGACACGCUCCGAGCUCGCCCCUACGCUCCGCU
rnacentral:rRNA from 1 species